UACGGAGGAUGCAAGCGUUAUCCGGAUUUAUUGGGUUUAAAGGGUGCGCAGGCGGACGAUUAAGUCAGUGGUGAAAUGCAACAGCUUAACUGUUGAACUGCCAUUGAUACUGAUUAUCUAGAGUACAGACGACGUUGGCGGAAUGCGACAUGUAGCGGUGAAAUGCUUAGAGAUGUCGCAGAACACCGAUUGCGAAGGCAGCUAACGAGGAUGUAACUGACGCUCAUGCACGAAAGCGUGGGGAUCAAACAGG
rnacentral:rRNA from 1 species